rnacentral:rRNA from 1 species
GACGAACGCUGGCGGCGUGCUUAACACAUGCAAGUCGAACGGAAAGGCCCUGCUUUUGUGGGGUGAUCGAGUGGCGAACGGGUGAGUAACACGUGAGUAACCUGCCCUUGACUUUGGGAUAACUUCAGGAAACUGGGGCUAAUACCGGAUAGGAGCCCCUGUUGCAUGGUGGGGGUUGGAAAGUUUCGGCGGUUGGGGAUGGACUCGCGGCUUAUCAGCUUGUUGGUGGGGUAGUGGCUUACCAAGGCUUUGACGGGUAGCCGGCCUGAGAGGGUGACCGGCCACAUGGGGACUGAGAUACGGCCCAGAGUGCUACGGGAGGCAGCAGUGGGGAAUAUUGCACAAUGGGCGGAAGCCUGAUGCAGCAACGCCGCGUGCGUGAUGACGGCCUGCUGGUUGUAAACCGCUGUCGCCUGUGACGAAGCGUUAGUGACGGUAAUGGGUAAAGAAGCACCGGCUAACUACGUG